UAAGGAAUAUUGGGCAAUGGACGCAAGUCUGACCCAGCCAUGCCGCGUGAAGGAUGAAGGUCCUCUGGAUUGUAAACUUCUUUUAUCUGGGGCGAAAAUCGGUUAUUCUUAGCCGCUUGACAGUACCAGAGGAAUAAGCACCGGCUAACUCCGUGCCAGCAGCCGCGGUAAUACGGAGGGUGCAAGCGUUAUCCGGAUUCACUGGGUUUAAAGGGUGCGUAGGUGGGCAGGUAAGUCAGUGGUGAAAUCCCCGAGCUUAACUCGGGAACUGCCGUUGAUACUAUCUGUCUUGAAUAUCGUGGAGGUAAGCGGAAUAUGUCAUGUAGCGGUGAAAUGCUUAGAGAUGACAUAGAACACCAAUUGCGAAGGCAGCUUGCUACACGGUAAUUGACACUGAGGC
rnacentral:rRNA from 1 species